GCCUAAAACAACAUUUUCAUGCAUUUUGUAUCGUGAAGUUGUAUGGGUUUUAUAAACUAUAACGAUACUGUAUUCCUUUUUAGUUUCAACAAAUUUCGUUGGAUAUCUGGGUAACAUAUUUUAUCGUAUAGUCCAUAAAUAGUUAUGUAGAAGUGCGAUUCCAAAUUAAUAUUGUGUUUCUUAAUUCCAUCACAGUAACGGGAAAACAUCAAGCGAUUAAGGUUUUUUACUCAACCAUUGGUUCAUUUGUGUUUUCGUGAACUAGCCCGAUCCGACCAUUAAAGCUUACUGCUGGUGAAAUGUAAAAAUCAUUAUGUGUACUAAAGUUUUCCGAUGCAGAUGCAAUGGAUGAACGUGUAUUGAAAAAAAUGUGGAUUGCUUGCCAAUGAAACGUUUCUGCAUCAGAGACCAAAAUGCACAAAAGGUAACCAUUAUUCGUCACAGAACUUUUUUUUCUUUUAAAGAAAACUGUUUAAUUAUUAGUAACAUUUAUGUAGCAACAGAGAGCAUUUUAACCUAAAGACAAAAAUGCUUAUUUACUAGAUAUAUGAUAUAUUUUUGCAAAGUAUUAAUAAAUGGGACGA
rnacentral:lncRNA from 1 species